rnacentral:lncRNA from 1 species
AGACAUAAACAUUUUCUAAUAACUCAAGCUUUCAAUAACAACCUGCUAUGUGUUGCCAGGGUCUUGGAGAAAACCAAAGACAAAGGAACCAUCUUCUUCCCUGAGGUCAACAAUGGAAGGAGAUGUAGAAGACACCAAAACAAGAACUCGGCAGGCUCAGGACAUGACAACGGAGAAGAACACCGAUAUGGAUCAAGGAAGGAUUGAAAGACAGUAA